rnacentral:rRNA from 1 species
GACAGAGGGGGCAAGCGUUGCUCGGAAUUACUGGGCGUAAAGCGCACGUAGGCGGUCUUUUAAGUCGGGGGUGAAAUCCUGGAGCUCAACUCCAGAACUGCCUUCGAUACUGGAAGACUUGAGUCCGGGAGAGGUGAGUGGAACUGCGAGUGUAGAGGUGAAAUUCGUAGAUAUUCGCAAGAACACCAGUGGCGAAGGCGGCUCACUGGCCCGGUACUGACGCUGAGGUGCGAAAGCGUGGGGAGCAAACAGG